AUUGAACGCUGGCGGCAUGCCUUACACAUGCAAGUCGAACGGUAACAGGUCUUCGGAUGCUGACGAGUGGCGAACGGGUGAGUAAUACAUCGGAACGUGCCCGAUCGUGGGGGAUAACGAAGCGAAAGCUUUGCUAAUACCGCAUAAGAUCCACGGAUGAAAGCAGGGGACCGCAAGGCCUUGCGCGAACGGAGCGGCCGAUGGCAGAUUAGGUAGUUGGUGGGAUAAAAGCUUACCAAGCCGACGAUCUGUAGCUGGUCUGAGAGGACGACCAGCCACACUGGGACUGAGACACGGCCCAGACUCCUACGGGAGGCAGCAGUGGGGAAUUUUGGACAAUGGGCGAAAGCCUGAUCCAGCCAUGCCGCGUGCAGGAUGAAGGCCUUCGGGUUGUAAACUGCUUUUGUACGGAACGAAAAGACUCUGGUUAAUACCUGGGGUCCAUGACGGUACCGUAAGAAUAAGCACCGGCUAACUACGUG
rnacentral:rRNA from 1 species